rnacentral:tRNA from 1 species
UAGGAAGUGGUGUAGUGGGAACACUUGGAGUUUUGAUCUCCAUAAUAUGGGUUCAAGUCCCUUCUUUCUAA